GUGAGUCAUCGAAUCUUUGAACGCACAUUGCACUCUAUUUCGGUAGAGUAUGCCUGUUUGAGAAUCUAUUAAACCCUUUAUACCAUACGGUUGCUACCAUACGGUUGCUACCAUAUGGUAUGAGAUUUGAACCUUUGCCGGAAUAACCUCGGUAACCUCGGUAACCUCGGGCAUGGUUUUAAAUAGAUUGCCUUGCUGUUUGAAUGGGAGCAGGAUCGCACCAGUAUUUGCAUGAACCGUGGUUCUACUUGUACAAAGUGCUUUCAGGCCUUACCCUUCAGGCGGAAGGUUCACCCAACA
rnacentral:misc_RNA from 1 species